AGAGUUUGAUCAUGGCUCAGGAUGAACGCUGGCGGCGUGCCUAACACAUGCAAGUCGAGCGAACCCUUCGGGGUGAGCGGCGGACGGGUGAGUAACGCGUGGGUAACCUGCCCUGUACACACGGAUAACAUACCGAAAGGUAUGCUAACACGAGAUAAUAUGUAAUGAUCGCAUGGUCGAUACAUCAAAGCUCCGGCGGUACAGGAUGGACCCGCGUCUGAUUAGCUAGUUGGUGAGGUAAUGGCUCACC
rnacentral:rRNA from 1 species